UGGCUUAUGGUCGAGUAGUAACGACACUAGACUCUCAAUCCAGAGUCCCAGUUUCGACCCCCGGUCAAGGAGCUAG